rnacentral:sRNA from 1 species
GUUCAGCAGCAGCAGCAGCUGCUGUUGCUGCAGCUGCUGUUGCUGCUGCUGGUGCUGCUGCUGCAGUAGCAGUUGCCGUUGCUGCCGCUGCAGAAGCAACUGCUGUUGCUGCUGCUGCUGCAGUAGCAGUUGCUGCCGCUGCAGAAGCAACUGCUGUUGCUGCUGCUGCUGCAGUAGCAGUUGCUGCCGCUGCAGAAGCAACUGCUGUUGCUGCUGCUGCUGCAGUAGCAGUUGCUGCCGCUGCAGAAGCAACUGCUGUUGCUGCUGCUGCUGCAG